rnacentral:rRNA from 1 species
UCUGCUCAGGACGAACGCUGGCGGCGUGCUUAACACAUGCAAGUCGAGCGGUAAGGCCCUUUCGGGGUACACGAGCGGCGAACGGGUGAGUAACACGUGGGUGAUCUGCCCUGCACUCUGGGAUAAGCUUGGGAAACUGGGUCUAAUACCGGAUAUGACCACAUGCCGCAUGGUGUGUGGUGGAAAGAUUUAUCGGUGCAGGAUGGGCCCGCGGCCUAUCAGCUUGUUGGUGGGGUAAUGGCCUACCAAGGCGACGACGGGUAGCCGACCUGAGAGGGUGACCGGCCACACUGGGACUGAGACACGGCCCAGACUCCUACGGGAGGCAGCAGUGGGGAAUAUUGCACAAUGGGCGGAAGCCUGAUGCAGCGACGCCGCGUGAGGGAUGAAGGCCUUCGGGUUGUAAACCUCUUUCAGCAGGGACGAAGCGUGAGUGACGGUACCUGCAGAAGAAGCACCGGCUAACUACGUGCCAGCAGCCGCGGUAAUACGUAGGGUGCGAGCGUUGUCCGGAAUUACUGGGCGUAAAGAGUUCGUAGGCGGUUUGUCGCGUCGUUUGUGAAAACCCGGGGCUCAACUUCGGGCUUGCAGGCGAUACGGGCAGACUUGAGUGUUUCAGGGGAGACUGGAAUUCCUGGUGUAGCGGUGAAAUGCGCAGAUAUCAGGAGGAACACCGGUGGCGAAGGCGGGUCUCUGGGAAACAACUGACGCUGAGGAACGAAAGCGUGGGUAGCAAACAGGAUUAGAUACCCUGGUAGUCCACGCCGUAAACGGUGGGCGCUAGGUGUGGGUUCCUUCCACGGGAUCUGUGCCGUAGCUAACGCAUUAAGCGCCCCCCGCC